rnacentral:rRNA from 1 species
GAUGAACGCUAGCGGCAGGCUUAAUACAUGCAAGUCGUGGGGCAGCAGGGGUAGCAAUACCCGCUGGCGACCGGCAAACGGGUGCGGAACACGUACGCAACCUUCCUUUAACUGGAGAAUAGCCCCUCGAAAGAGGGAUUAAUACUCCGUAACAUAUUUUUAAGGCAUCUUAUAAAUAUUAUAGUCUUUGGGCGGUUAAAGAUGGGCGUGCGCCUGAUUAGAUAGUUGGUGAGGUAACGGCUCACCAAGUCUACGAUCAGUAGCUGGUCUGAGAGGAUGAUCAGCCACAUUGGGACUGAGACACGGCCCAGACUCCUACGGGAGCAGCAGUGAGGAAUAUUGCU